UUUAGGGAGACCUACCCUUGAUAACUCUGAACCAUAUUGAAUUAGGAGUAUUGAGUGGUCACUCUAGGUCGUUCAGGACUUUGAGAUUAGUUUCUAGACUAUGGUUGAGGUUUAUUUCUUAGCUUUCACCAGCGUUUUUAUUAGCGAUGGUGAGGGGUAAGGAAACUAAACACGGGCUAUUAGCUCAGGUGGUUAGAGCGCACCCCUGAUAAGGGUGAGGUCCCUGGUUCGAGUCCAGGAUGGCCCACUGCGUGGGGGUUUAGCUCAGUUGGUAGAGCGCCUGCUUUGCAAGCAGGAUGUCAGCGGUUCGAGUCCGCUAACCUCCACCACGAAAGCAGGGAUUAAAUUCAGCACAGUGUGUUUUGGGAAUACCAGGACAUAGUCUGCUGGGUGAAAGCCUAGCAAAGAACCUUGAAAACUGAAUAUGAGAGAAGUGUAAGGUAGUACACACAGAACAUUCAAAGUUCGUUGAGAGAAGAGUGAAUUUUGUUGGGUAACACCAAUGAAAUGAA
rnacentral:tRNA from 1 species